rnacentral:rRNA from 1 species
AGUGGGGGAUAACGCCGCGAAAGCGGCGCUAAUACCGCAUAUUCUCUUUGGAGGAAAGCGGGGGACUCGCAAGAGCCUCGCGCUCGCGGAGCGGCCGAUGUCCGAUUAGCUUGUUGGUGGGGUAAAGGCUUACCAAGGCGACGAUCGGUAGCUGGUCUGAGAGGAUGAUCAGCCACACUGGGACUGAGACACGGCCCAGACUCCUACGGGAGGCAGCAGUGGGGAAUUUUGGACAAUGGGGGCAACCCUGAUCCAGCCAUGCCGCGUGCGGGAAGAAGGCCUUCGGGUUGUAAACCGCUUUUGGCCGGGAAGAAAAGGCUGAGGCUAAUACCCUCGGUUUUUGACGGUACCGGCAGAAUAAGCACCGGCUAACUACGUGCCAGCAGCCGCGGUAAUACGUAGGGUGCGAGCGUUAAUCGGAAUUACUGGGCGUAAAGCGUGCGUAGGCGGUUCGUUGUGUCUGUGGUGAAAGCCCCGGGCUUAACCUGGGAAUGGCCAUGGAAACUGGCGAGCUGGAGUGUGGCARAGGAGGGUGGAAUUCCG